UUUUUUUUUUUUUUUUUGCUGUUUAGGGCCACAAUUGUAGCAUAUGGAGGUUCCCAGGCGCUAGGGGUCUAACUGCAGCUACAGUUGCUGACCUUUGCCACAGACACAGCAGCACAGGAUCCAAACCGAGUCUGAGACUGACACCACAGCUCAAGGCAAUGCUGGAUCCUUAACCCACUUAUUGAGGUCAGGGUUCGAACCUGCAACCUUAUGGUUCCUAAUUGGACUCGGUUCCGCUGCACCAUGACAGGAACUCCUUAACUUUUUUUUUAGUGACUACACUUGUGGCAUACGGAAAUUUCCAGGCUAGGGAUCAAAUCCAAGCCACAGCUGCAACUUGUGCCACAGCUGUGGUAACGCUAUAUUCUUAACCUACUGUGCCAGGCUAGGGAUGGAACCUGUGCCGCCAUAGAGACAACACCAGAUCUAAACCUACUGCGCCACAGCGGGAACUCCUUUUUAUAAUUGUUUGGAAUGGUUUUUCAGUUGAGUUUUUUGUUUUUUCAGAGAGUAUCAAUUUUAAGUACAAACACUUUUUACUUUCUCCUUUAUAACAUUUUAAUUCAGUCCCCCUCCCCCGACUAACAGCAUAAGCUAAUACUUCUGGAACAAUGUUAAACAAUGAUAAUGGACAGUCUUAUUUGACUCUUGACUUAAAUGCUUCUAGGGUUUCUCCAUGAGCCUGUUUUUUGAUUUACAUAUAAAAUUGAUUUAUAUAUACAUAGUAGGGAGUAUAUACUUCUAUUAUUAUUUGUCAAAUGAUUUUUUUUUACCAUCCAGGACAAUUAUUAUCUAAUUUUUGCCCUGUGAGUUACUGAUAGAGUGAAUUAUAAACACUUAUGGUCAAAUGCAUAGAAAAUUUUUGUGAUUUUUUUUCCACAAGCACUUGGGGAAUACAGCUAUAUAUAUAUUACCAAUUAGAUCUAUGUUAUUAUGUUAUUUAGGUCUCCUGUAUCUUUACUUUUUUUUGUCUCCUUGACCUGUCAUGUAAAUGUCUUAAGUAAAUGCCUAAAUCUGUUUGACAGACUCAACAUCCUAGGUAUCCUUCUGAUUAAUUAACCACUCUUUAGCACUUACCAUGUGCUAGGCACCAUGACAGGGGUUUUCCAUACGCCAGGUCUUUUAUGAGCCGGCUUCCACAGUCUUCAAAAAUUGUUUUGCUUCAGAGCUGACUUUUAACUACUAAAUUCACUUUAACAUGAAGUGACAGAUUUUUAGUGAGUCACAAGUUUAGAGGCUGGUUUUAUGAAUCUUUGCAGUCUAAAGCGUCAGAUGACUAGGGGGCAUGCCUACUUGUGCACCUCUCCCCCAAAAGGCAGUCUGUGCCACAUCCUUUCUAGGCCUUCUGUCUAGUGCCUGCCUAGAGCCUGGCAAAGAAGAAACAAUCAGGAAGAAGUAUGGAGUAACAAUUCUUUAUUGCUUUAGUAACUAUUCUUUAUUACUGUUGCAGUAGAAAAGAGAUGCCAUACUCCGGAGUUCCCUUCAUGGAUUAGCAGUUAAUGAACCUGACUAGGAUCCAUGAGGAUUCGGGUUCCAUCCCUGGCCUCGCUCAGUGGGUUAAGGACCCAGAAUUGCUGUGACCUGUGGUGCAUGUCGCAGACAUGGCUUGGAUUCCGCAUUGCUGUGCUUUGGUGUAAGCUGGCAGUUGCAGCUCCGAUUUGACCCCUAGCCUGGGAAUGUCCACAUGCUGAGGGUGCAGCCCUGAAAAGCAAAGAAAAAAAAAAAAGAGAGAGAGAGAGAGAUGCCACAGUCAAAGUGCAAUAAUUCAAGGAAGAUUUAAUAAAAAAAACUAUUUACAAAGAUACAGUCAGGGUACAGGGAAAUGUUAAGAGGUAGUGCAGUAGAAUGACAAUGUUUCUACCCCUUGGCCCAAAGACGUAAGUGGGGGCAGUGGUUUUGAAAUCUAGGAGUCGUGUGAGAGGGGAGGCCAUUAUGUGAGACGUGGAGACCUUUUUUUUUUAAUUCAAGGGGACAGCUAACCUAGUGGUUUUCACUGAGGGCAAAAUUUUGCCCCCAAAAGAACAUUUGGGAAUUUCUGGGACAUUUUUGGUUGUCAUAACUGGGGAAGUAAGACGCUAUUUGCAUCUAGUGGUUAGAGGUCUGAGAUGCUAUUAAACAUCCUACAAGGCACAGGACACUGCCCACGACAAAGAAUUAUCUGGUCAUUUCCAAAAAGCUGUGGGAACGUUUACUGCCUAAAAAGUGAGAUAUCAAUGUAAAAAAUUUACAUAUGAACAUAAAUACUUGUUUAUUCAUAAAUACAUAUAUAUUAAUCUUUCCAUGAACUCUACUGUCACCAGAAUAUGUUAUGCCUCCUGGAGGCAGAAAAGAGAACAAGCAAGUGGACUGGCUGUGUUAUGAUUAUACUUGUUCAAUGAAACUAUGGGGUAUACACAAUAUUCUAAAAGCAAAGACUCAGAAGAAGAAUUUCAAAGCACAAUUUGAGGAAGGAAAAAUAAAAAAGCCAAGAAGAAAUAAAUAGGAAAACGCUUUUUUUUUUUGUCUUUUUAGGGACACACCUGUGGCAUAUGGAGGUUCCCAGCUGAACUGGAGCUGUAGCUGCUGGCCUAUACCACAGCCACAGCAAUGCCAGAUCCAAGCCACAUCUGCGAGCUACACCACAGCCUACGGCAAUGCCAGAUCCUUAACCCACUGUGCGAGGCCAGGGAUCAAACCUGCGUCCUUAUGGACGUUAGUCAGAUUUGUUUCCGCUAAGCCAUGACAGCAACUCCGGAAGGAGAAUUUUGACGAAAUACAGAAUUAUCACUUGAUCCAGCUAUUCCACUUCUGGGCACAUACCUGGAGAAAACCGUAAUUUGAAAAGAUAACGCACCUCAAUGUUCACUGUAGUACUACUCACAACAGCCAAGACAACCCAAAUGACCAUCGGCAGAUGAAUGGAUGAAGAUAAUACACACAUACACACAAUGGAACAUUACUCAUCAAUAAAAAAGAAUGACAUAAUGCCAUUUGCAGCAACAUGGAUAGACCUAGAGAUUAUCAUACUAAGUGAAUGUCUACUAAGUUAGACAAAGACAGAUGUCACUUAUGAUAUAAAUGAACUUACUUACAAAACAGAAACAGACUCAUAGAAAACAAACUUGUGGUUACCAAAGGGGACAGGUGAAGGGUGGUGGGGAGAGGAUGGAUUUGGGGGUUCAGGACUGGCAUAUGCACACUAUUUUAACUAUUUUAUGUGAAUGGAUGGUUAGCAGGGAUCUGCUGUAUAGCACAGGGAACACUACCCAAGAUUCGGUGAUAGCCUCUGUAGGAAAAGAAUCUGAAAAAGAAUGGAUAUAUGUAUAUAUAUAUAUAUAACUGAAUCACUUUGUUGUACAGCAGAAAUUACAUUGUAAAUCAACCACAAUAAAACUUAAAAAAAUGAAAACCAAAAAGCCACUCUGUUGUGCAUUAAUGUCUUCAUUUUUAUUUUUAUUUUUGUCUUUUUAGGGCUGCACCCGUGGCAUUUGGAGGUUCCCAGGCUAGGGGUCUAAUUGGAGCUGCAGCUACCGGCCUACGCCACAGCCACAGCAAUGUGGGAUCCGAGCUGCAUCUUCGAUGUACACCACAGCUCAUGGUAAUGCUGGAUCGUUAACCCACUGAGCAAGGGCAGGGACCGAACCCGCAACCUCAUGGUUCCUAGUCAGAUUCGUUUCUGCUGUGCCACAAUAGGAACUCCCAACAUCUCCAUUUUUAAAAUAAGAAUGUGAUACCAACAUAUUAAAAUAACAAUUAAUAUUUCACACCUAACAUACCAACAAAGAAAAAAACCUGAUGAUGCGAGGUGGUAUUGAGAAAAUGAGAUAAGAACAUUCAAGCACUGCUCAGGGGAAAGUAAUUUGCUUUAACCUUUGAAAACAGUUUGGGGGGUGUGUGGCCCUAAAAAGAUGAAAAAAAAAAAGAACAGAAUAAUGUCCUUUGCAGCAACAUGGAUGAAACUAGAGACUCUAAUAUUAAAUGAAGUAAGUCAUAAACAGAAAGACAAAUACCAUAUGAUAUCACUUAUAUCUGGAAUCUAAUAUACAGCACAAAUGAACCUAUCCACAGAAAAGAAACAAACUCAUGGACUUGGAGAACAGACUUGUGGUUGCCAAGGGGGAGGGGAGGGAGUGGGAAGGACUGGGAAUUUGGGGUUAAUAGAUGCAAACUAUUGCAUUUGGAGUGGAUAAGCAAUGAGCUCCUGCUGUAUAGCACAGGGAACUAUAUCUCGUCACUUGUGAUGGAACAUGAUGGAAGGUAAUGUGAGAAAAAGAAUAUAUACAUAUAUAUGUAUGUAUGUAUGUUUGAAUGACUGGGUCACUUUGCUAUACAGCAGAAAUUGACAAAACAUUGUAAAUCAACUAUAAUAGAAAAAAAAAAGUUUGGUAAAGUAUACUAGAGUUGACAACACAGCAUCUUAUAAGCCAGAGACACUACUUCUAGUUAUAUGUAACUAAAUAUCUUACAGGAGACGUACAUGAGUAUAUCUCAUUGCAGCAUUAUUUCUUAAAGUGAAGAACUGGAAACAGAUGUCCAUCAACAGAGGACUAGGAAUGGUCGGUUUCCAGCUGCCUAUUUAAGGAACUUGGAAUGUCACCAGUCUAUUCAAACUAGUAAAAAGCUAACGGACUGAAAAAAAAUCAAGUCUUCUUGCACUUGUAAUAAAGGGGAGGACAGAGAGCAAACCCCAGCUCCCAAGACUGGGGAGCCGAGCAGGUGAAUACAGGGAGUUGGGACUUACCAGAGCAGAGACUCUCAAGGAGGGCAAACUGCAGGGGAACCAGCUCUGGGAAGGAAAUCCUGAACUGUAAUUGAUGAAUAGCUGGAGGUUCAGUGCAGACAAGUCAUACGGGAACCUGUCAAAGGAAAGCUCCCACGAUAUUGUGAGAUUUAUCUCUAGGAGCUCAAACAGACCCAGUAAAUACUGGAGAAAAAUCCUCACAGGCCCCCAGCAGGGUAAGAGAAGGGCAAUCCUUUUGAAGUUCAUCAACGCCCUCUGUUCUUAAUAAGGCUUGCCUUCAGGAGAAACUAGUUAACAGAGCUUAACCUGCUGGGAUAAUAUCAGAACCUAACUGAUCUAGGGGAAGGGGCAUACUCAACUCCAGCUGGCCCUAGUCAUCCAUUCCCACCUAAGGAGGUAGAAAAAAAGAGAAACACUUGUGAAACUCACAGUCCAGAGGUAUAGGCUUACCAUAAGACUGAGACCUGAUCCUAAAACUACAGAAUGCCUCCUCCCCCAACACCUCACCACCACAUCACUAACGGCCUAUCUACUCAGUACAUCAUGUCAGGCUAUCAGGAAGAAAUUACAGGGCAUACAAAAGGCAAAAAACAUAAAGAGAUACAGAGCAAGCAUCAAAAUGAGGCAUGGCAGGGAUGCUGGAACUAUCAGAGCAGGAAUUUAAAACAACUACCACUAAUAUGAUAAGGGCUUUAAAGGAUCAAAUGAACAGCAUGCAAGAACAGAUGGACAAUGUAAGCAAAGUGAGGGAAAUCCUAAGAAAGGACCAAAAAGAAAUGCUAGAGAUAAAAAAAUACUAACAAAACAAAAAUGUCUCUGAUGUAUUUAUUAGUAGACUGGACACAGCUAAGAAAAGAAUCUCUGAGUUGGAGGAUAUAUCAAUAGAAUCUUUGAAAACUGGAAAGAAGGAGUUCCCGCGUCGCUCAGUGGUUAACAAAACCGACUAGGAACCAUGAGGUUGUGGGUUCGAUCCCUGGCCUUGCUCAGUGGGUUAAGGAUCCAGCAUUGCUGUGGCUGUGGCAUAGGCUGGUGGCCACAGCUCCGUUUAGACUCCUAGCCUGGGAAACUCCACAUACUGCAGGUUCUGCCCUAGAAAACACCAAAAACAAAAAACAAAAAACAAACCAAAAAAAACUGGAAAGAAAAGCAACCAAGAAUAUAAAAAAUUGAAUAGAAUAUCCGAGGACUGUUGGAUAUUUAGAAAAGGUGUAACAUACUCAUAAUGGGAAUACCAGAAGGAGAAGACAUAAAGGAACAGUAGAAAUAUUUGAAACAGUAACUGGUAAUUACUCCCCAAAUUAAGGUCAAACUCAAAACCACAGAUCCAAGAAACUCAGAGAAUAAGUAGAAUAAAUGCAACCCCGCCAAACCGAAAAAAAAAAAAGCAAAAAACCCAAACCCCAACUACACCUGGGCGCAUCAUUUUCAAACUACAGAAGCUCAAAAAUAAAAAUCUUGCAAGAUGGAGGUCCCGUCGUGGUGCAGUGGAAACGAAUCUGACUAGGAACCAUGAGGUUGUCGGUUCCAUCCCUGGCCUUGCUCAGUGGGGAUCUGGUUGUAACUGCUGUGGUUCUGAUUACAGCUAUGGUGAAGGCUCAGUCUCUGGCCUGGGAACUUCUUCAUGACUCAAGCGUGGACAAAAAAAAAAAAAAAAAGAAGGAGAAAUAAAAACUUUUUCAAAAAAAAUUAAAGGAAUUAGUACCAGUAGAUAUGCUUUGCAAACAUUUUUUUUUAAUUAAAAAAAUUUGGGGAGUUGCUGUCAUAGCGUAGUGGAAA
ensembl:lncRNA